AUGUACCCCAUCAAGGCACCUGGGUCGGAUGGCUACCCGGCACAUUUCUUUCAACACCAUUGGGAUACUUGUGGGGAUGAUGUUACCAAGGCAGUCUUGAGGAUUGUAGAUGGCACCGAAUCAGCGGAAUGCAUAAAUGAUACGAUCUUGGUUCUUAUCCCCAAGGUAAAAAAUCCCUCACUUCUGUCUCAAUUUCGCCCAAUCAGCCUAUGUAAUGUCUUGUAUAAGAUUGCAUCGAAGGUCAUCUCUAACAGAUUGAAAGUAGUAUUUCCCGAUGCUAUCUCAGAUGACAUCAUUAUGGCUUAUGAGUGCUUACAUUUCAUGAAGAGAAAUAAGGCUAAGAAGAACCAGUCAUGUGCUCUCAAGCUUGACAUGAUGAAAGCUUAUGACAGGGUGGAGUGGCCUUACCUAAAAGCCAUAAUGCUAAAACUAGGCUUCAAUGCCCGCUGGGUGGAUAUUGUUAUGAGUUUGGUAAGCACAGUGACUUUCUCUGUGCUGUUUAAUGGGAAGAAGCUUCAACAAUUCAAACCUUCACGAGGAAUCAGACAAGGGGACCCUAUAUCUCCAUACUUAUUCUUGCUAGUAGUAGAGGGCCUUUCAUGCCUCUUGCAAUCAAAAAGUGAGUCAUCAAACUUGAGUGGCCUACAGGUUGCUCCUUUGGCGCCACCGGGUGAGCCAUCUCCUGUUCACUGA
rnacentral:rRNA from 1 species